AAAAUGUCAUUAGUGCCGGGGAGAUCGAGAGAGGAGUGAGGUGUUUAAUGGAGCUUUGCGAUGAGAAGAGGGAGAGGUUGAAGGAGAUGAGUGGAAAGGGCAAGAAGGCUUUGGAGAACGGUGGAUCCUCGUUCACUUGGUUAGGUCGUUUCAUUCAAGAUACGGUGGAUCAACUGCCAUGAUUAAAUUGUACUCUCUUCAUCUUGUUUAAUACAAAGUCUUUCAGCUGAUAUGUUGUCUUUCUAUAAUAUAUAUGUAUUUCUCUGGUCUUUUUUUUUUAAUAUGAAUGUCAGAACCUUCUUUAUUAUUAUUAGUUCUCGUGAUUGAUUUGAAAACUGAUAUGAAAGAAGUUUAGGUCAUCAGUUGAUUCUAUAAUAAUUAUUUUUAUUAAAACAGUAUUUUUUUCUUUUAUUGAUUUGACGAGAGUCGAACAGAUUUGAUUGAUUUAAUAUUUUAACUGAUUUUAACUAAAAACUUUAAAUGUCGAAUUUCUAAAGGCCAAGCUGAUAAACUUCUAACAGACUACCAAACAUAUGUGGUGUGUGUGUGUGUGUGUGAAAUUAUUGUAAUUAAAAAAACAGUUGAAGAAGUAUUGUCAUAGAUUUCGGCAAACCUAGAAAACAUAGUAAAAUUACAUUUGAUUUGUACAUUGAAAUUAUCACUUUAGCUUUGUCAAGAAAAACUCAAUGCAAUUCAUUUUAAAGAUAUAAAAGUCUUUUUCAAUAUUAGAGACGAAAGGCCUCUCUUUUUUCAUAGUAAAAUUACAUAAUUAUUCUUAAAAAUAAAAAAAAAUAUUAAACUUAAUAUAGUAGUGUUUUAGUUUUUUUUUUUUCUCAACAUAGUAGUAGAAUGAUUUUAGUAUCUUAGAAAGCAAAAAUUACUAAACUUCUUUCAGGUUUUUUGUUUUAAUUUCAUUAAUUUUUUUUAAUAAUAAUCAAGUUGAUUUAGGACUAAUUUUAUAUUUUGAUAAAUAUAUAAUAUUAUUAAAAAAAUAAUGAUUUAACUGUGAUUAAUCCAUGGAAAUUAAAUCAAAUACAAAAAAAAAUUUAUAAAGGAUAAUAAAAUUAUGGUUGCCGAUGAGGGGAGGGUGUUUUAGAAUAUGGUAACGUUGCUUUUCAAAGUGUUUUUCGCUUAUAAAUUUAUUAAAAUAACAUAUAUAUCUUUUACUUUUGAAAAAUUAUUUUUGACAUUAACACAUUAAAACAAACAAAAAACAUAAACAAAAAAUUUUAAACAAAAAAAAAAUUUUUACCAAAAAAAAAAUUAAACCAUCCAGUCAAACACACCCAGAACAAAAUAAAGCAAGAAGAUGAAAGAGACGAGCAAAACAAGUCGAAAAGCUUUGAAUAAUGAAGGAUGUUCAUAUUCGUCAUUCAAUCGUCUAAUUGCAGACAUGAUGGAUAAUACACAUUCAAUAAAUUUUCUUUAACUUUAUUCCUUACUUAGCCUUGAUUUAAAAAAUGAACCCUGUAAGAAAGGGAAAAAAUUAAUUAAAUUCGAUUAAGGCUUAAUCCUCUUUUUUGUCACAGAUUUCCUCUUCUAUAUCUCAAAGAAUCGCUCUUCUCUUUCUCGCCGUGCAUCCAACAAUGAUAAAGGCACUUUCCCCUGCAACCCUUGACCUGCAAAAAUCAGCAAAAAAACCCCAUCAAUUUAAACAUUUGAUUUUUUUUUUUUUUUGGAAUGAGAGAAUCGCACGAACUUAACAAAAAAAACCUCAUCUUCCGAAAACAAAUCCCAAACGCAAACAUCAUUGCUGCUAUGUGGAGAGGGGAAAAAAAGUGAAAAAAAAUCAAGCAAUGCUCUCUCUCGGCAACAGAGAGGAGAGAAUAAGAUAAAACAAACAAGCUGUGGACAGGGGAGAGAGAAAGUGAACAAUUGACAAAGUAAUUGUAGUUGUAAGAAACCCACCAUUUCCUAAUGAGAUAUCCAUCUACAAAACACACCCGUCAGGAAGAAAAAAAUUGUAAUUGGCAAGACAUCAAGCCCACAUAGAAUAAGCCUGGUGCCUUGCAACAAAGACUAAGAAUUUUAUAUAUAUAUAUAUAUAUAUAUAUAUAUAUAUAUAUCAUAAAAAUGACAUCUUAGCAAUGAAAACUACAAUUAAAGUUGAUUCUGUUUUAAUUUUUUUUUGUUAACAAAAUUUAAUUUCUCCAAUAUUAUUGACAGGCAAUACUCAGCGGGUCAGGUUAAAUUUUGUUUAAUGUAAAAAAAUAUUUAAGCAUUGCUGCUUUUUCUAGUAGAAAAAAAUUGAUUCGAUGUAUCAAUGAUUUAAACCAAAACAUAGAUCUAGAUAAUAUAGAAUAUAGUUGUUAGACUCCGUUCACUAACAUAUUAAAAAAAAAUUUGAAUCCCCAAUUAUCAAGAUUAAUUUGUAUGUUACUAGCUUCCAUGUCAAUUAUUUUUAUUAAAAUAUCAGUAUUAUUUGGUUCUAGGCUUUUUUAAAAAAAACAAUUCUUAGUGUUGAUGUUUCUAGGUGAGUUAUUAACUAAGUUUUUGAAAAAAAUUAAAAUCACUACUUUUUCAAAUUAAUUUAUCAAAUCAUAUGAAGUCAAAUCAAGUUUAACCAUUAUAAUAUUAUGAUAUUUGAUUUUUUUUUCUUCAUUUAAAUUUCAAGAUUAGUGUUUAUUUUUUAAAAAAAAUACACCGAACUGAUAUAAAGAUAGAUUAUGUGUUUUUAAAGUUAUUCAAAACCUAAAUUUAAUCUUUAUUAACAUCAAUCUAUAUAUAUAUAUAUAUAAAAGCAUAGAAAAUUCAGCCCAUAAUAUGUAGUAAAAAACGUUGUCGUCUUCUACUUUGAAUUUCAUAAAAGAGAACUCAAUUUAAAUUUCUGACAGGGACGGCAUCCCAUUUUUUUGGGUCUUCUUGACGAAUUGUAAAAGCAGUCCACAAUCACAGCAAAGCCAUGACCUCACUCUUAUUCUUGUCCUGCUCGUAUAUAUUUUUGAACAAUAUAUUGCCAAUCUCAAGUCCACUAAUUACAGCCACAAACAGUGCCUUUAAAAAGGAUAUGAAAAUCAGUCUUUUACAUUCAACCCCACCUUGAAAUCCUCUAGCAAACAAAGAAAAAAAAAGGAGCUCAGUAGCAGAAUGAAGAAAGCUGAGCUGGUCUUCAUACCAACACCAGGUAUAAGCCACCUCGUAUCCACAGUAGAGGUAGCAAAGCUUCUUGUAGACCGUGAUGAGAGGCUUUCAAUCACCUUCCUCAUCAUGAAACUACGUUCUGACCCCAAGAUUGAUAGGUUUAUAAAUUCAGUGAGUACAGCCUGUAAUCGUAUCCGGUUCAUUGACUUGCCUAAAGAUGAGCCUGAUCCAAACCAACCCAGGAAGUUUCUCUUUUCUUUGAUUGAAGCCCAGAAACCCCAUGUCACAGAAGAAGUCUGUAAGCUUGUGAGUCAGUCGGAGUCAAGCCCUGACUCGCCUCCUCUUGCUGGGUUUGUUCUUGAUAUGUUUUGUACAUCUAUGAUAGAUGUGGCCAAUGAAUUUGGUGUUCCAUCAUAUAUUUUCCUUACGUCAGGUGCAGCUUUUCUUGGCCUUCAAUUUUAUGUUCAGGCUCUUCACGAUGACCGGAAAGUUGACCCUACUGAGUACAAGGGCUCGGAUGUUGAGUUGGUCAUGCCGUGUUUGGCAAAUCCUCUUCCAGCGAAGGUCUUGCCUUCUGUUAUGCUUAACAAAGAGUGGCUGCCAAAUAUGCUCAGUCAAGCUAGAAGGUUUAGAGAAACUAAGGGUAUUAUAAUAAACACAUUUGAAGAGCUGGAAUCUCAUGCGAUCAACUCCUUUUCUAAAGGUAAUAGCCCUCCGGUAUAUCCAGUGGGUCCCAUUUUAAACCUUAAUAGAGAUGGUGAUCGUGAGGAGGAGUCUGAUAAACGCAAAGACAUCAAGCAAUGGCUUGAUGAUCAGCCCCUGUCCUCAGUAGUGUAUCUAUGCUUCGGCAGCAUGGGGAGUUUCGGUGUGGAUCAGGUGAAGGAAAUCGCAUGUGGGCUAGAGCAGAGCGGCCACCGAUUCUUGUGGUCUCUACGUCAGCCACCACCGAAAGGUAAGAUAGAACCUCCAAGCGAUUACACUAAUCCUCGGGAGGUCUUACCUGAAGGAUUUUUGGAUCGGACGGCUAACAUUGGAAAAAUAAUUGGUUGGGCCCCACAGACAGAUAUUUUGGCCCAUCCAUCCGUACGAGGUUUUGUCUCCCACUGUGGAUGGAACUCUAUAUUGGAAAGCAUAUGGUUUGGCGUUCCAAUUGCCGCGUGGCCAUUAUAUGCAGAGCAACAACUGAAUGCCUUUCAAAUAAUUGUUGAGCUCGGAUUGGGAGUGGAGAUUAAAAUGGAUUAUAGAAGAGAGUUUAUCUCGGAUGGUAAUGAAAAUGUCAUUAGUGCCGGGGAGAUCGAGAGAGGAGUGAGGUGUUUAAUGGAGCUUUGCGAUGAGAAGAGGGAGAGGUUGAAGGAGAUGAGUGGAAAGGGCAAGAAGGCUUUGGAGAACGGUGGAUCCUCGUUCACUUGGUUAGGCCGUUUCAUUCAAGAUUCGGUGGACCACCUGCCAUGAUUAAAUUGUAUUCUCUUAAUUCGUAUUAUUUAAUACAAUCUUUUAGUUUACAUGUUAUCUUUUUUAAUAUAUAUGAGAUGACUUGCUUGUACGCUGUUAUAAUUUAAUAAAACAAAUAUAUUUAAUAAUAUUAUAAUUAUGAAUCAAUGUUAGAUAAUUGAUAAAAACUAAAAGUAUGAUGAAGCCAAUAUUUCAAGAUAGAAAAAAAGUUGUGUUAGUGAUCAAAAACUUAGAGACUGAACAAAAUGAUUUGUAGCAAUCUACAGUGUUUUGUGAGGAAAUAUACAGUGUUUUUACCAUAUGAUUUAGUUUUUCUGUUAAUAAAAAACAAAAAAAAAUUACAAAGCUAAAUUCUCUACCAACUUAAUAUUAAAAAAAAACCAACAAAGAUAAUUUUGGAAGGAAAAAAACCUAUGAGGAAAAACGUUGUAGCAAUUGAUAAUGUUUUGUGAGGAAAACUACACUGUUUUCUCCAAUAAAAUCGACAAAGACAAUUUUAGAAAAAAUCAUGAAAAAAUCAUUUAGACAAAUACUGUAGCAAUUAACAGUGUUUUGUGAGAAAAGCUACAACGCUUUCCCAUAUGAUUUAGCUUUAUUGUAAUUAUAAUUCUUAACCAGCUCAAUAUUAAAAAAAAUCAAAAAGAUGAUUUUGAAAAAAAUCAUAUGGGAAAACACAACAAUUCACAGUGUUUAAAAAAAAUUACAAAGCUAAAUUCUCAAUAAGCUCAAUAUUAAAAAAAAAAAAUCGACAGAGAUAAUUUUAGAAAAAGAAUAACAAAAAAAAUACAAAAAAGACAGGAAAAAAAAUCAUGUUGGAAACACUAUAGCAAUUCACAGUGUUUUGUGAUGAAAGUUACAGUGCUUCCCCACAUGAUUUAGCCUUAUCUGUAAUGAUUUGUAAUUGUAAUUCUAAACCAGCUCAAUAUUAAAAAAUAAAAUUCACAAAGAUAAUUUUGAAAAAAUCAUAAGAAAAAAAAAACCUUGUUGAGAGACACUCUAGCAAUCCACAGUGUUUUGUGAGGAAAGCUAUAAUGUUUUCUCCACAUAAUUAAUCUUUAUUACAAAGUUAAAUUCUAACUAACUUAAUAUUAAAAAAAUAAAAUCGACAAAGAUAAUUUUAAAAAAAAUAUUACAAAAAAGAAAACACAAAAGAACUGGAAAAAAAUCAUAUGGGAGAAAACACUAUGGCAAUCCACAGUAAUUUGCGAGUAAAGUUACAGUGUUUUCUCACAUAUUGUAACUGUAAUUUUUAACCAGCUCAAUAUUAAAAAAUAAAAUCGAAAAAGAUAAUUUCGGAGAAAAUCAUAAAAAAAAAUAAAAAAAAUCAUGCGGAGAAACACUGCAGCAAUCAACAAUGUUUUAAAAAAAAUUAUAAAACUAAAUUCUCAAUCGGCUCAAUAUUAAAAAAAAUAAAAUCAACAAAAAUAAUUUUGAAAAAUAAAAAAAUAAAAUAGAAAAACCAUGUGGGAAAACACCGUAGUAAUCCACAGUAUUUUAAAGAAAAAAAAUUACAAAGCGAAAUUUUUAACCAGCUGAAUAUUAAAAAGUAAAAUCGACAAUGAUAAUUAAAAAAAAUAAACAAAAAAAAUGGGAAAAAAGAAAAGUAAUUUUGGAAAAAUAAAAUAAAAAAUAAACAAAAAAAGGGGGAAAGUUGGAAAAAAAAAACAUAAAAGUACAAAAAAAAAUAAAAAAAUAUACUGUAAAUUACUAUUAUAAUCCAUAAAUAUGAAUAAACCGUAAAUCACCCGCACCCUUUAGCUUAUUUCUUAAUGUUAUCUUUAUGCAUGGGUGUAGGGGAGUUUGCCAUGUCUUAGGCCUAGGAAAGCAUGAAGUGCCCGGUCAUGCUUGAGGGGUGAUGGCAAAAAAUUCCUUAGGCUCAAUAAACUUGGAAAACACGUGUUGGGUCUAGAUACUGGGCUUGGCUAGACAUCAUCUAUGAGCUCUGGGCCAACAUCAAUAUCCAAGAAUUUCGUAUUCAGCUUCGGUCUUCAUACCAGCACCAGGUAUAAUCCAAAAGCUCAUAUUUGCAUGGUGUGCUUUUCUCGAAGCUCAUAUUGAAGCUCGUCGGUCAGGUCAAGAAGUUGCAUUCCACUAAUCUAACUUGGUUCGAGUGGCUUGGUCCCCUGACAAGGACAUCUCUUUCUCUGCUUUAGUCCAAAAGUCCGUCAUGACAUUUCUUUGAUUAGACGAUUAUCGGUGAUCCAGAAAUCCACAUAGAAUAGGCUUGGUGUCUUGCCACGAAGACUAAGAAUUAUAUAUAAAAAAUUUCAUAAAAAUGAUAUUUCUGCAAUCAAAACUACAAUUAAAGUUAAUUUUGUUUUAAUUAUUUUGUUGAUAAGAUUUAAUUUCCACAAGAUCAUUAGCUCAUACUUUCUAGCAAGUCAGAUUAAAUUUUAUUGAAUGUAAAAAAAUAUUUAAGCAUUGUUAAUGUUAUUUAUAACAGAAAAUAAAAUUAAAUUGAUGUCACCUGUUCAACUUGAAGGAUACAAAGAUAAUCUAGACAACAUAUAAUCUAGACAACAACCCUCUAAAAAAUAUGAUUUGACUAAAAACAAGAUGACAACAUAUUGACUUGAUCCAAAUCAAACUAGGUUAACCUACUAAUUUUACAACUAUGGUUAUAAGACCAUAAUAAUAAAACAUAAUUCUCAAUUAACUCAAUUUUAAAUGAUAAAAUUAAAAAAAAUCAAUUAAAAAAAAAUCUAAAAAUGGCAUGAUUUAACCCGGGCUAACUCGUCAAACUAUUGACUUGGUCAUGAGACCAGAAUAAUCUCAUAGAAAACAAAUUAAAAUAAGUUAUAAAAAUCAAUUUUCAAUCAACUCAAUGUUGAAGGAUGAAAUCUAAAAAGAAAAUACUCAAAUAAAAAGUACACAAAAAAUGACUUGAAUCAAUCUAGGUUAACACACUAUACCUAUUACCUGGAUCAUGAGACCACGAUAAUCUUAUAUGAACAAAAACAAAAACCACUUGGUCAUAAGGUUGAGAUAACCUUAUAAAAAAAAUAAUAUGAAGCAUAAUUUUCAAUCACCUCAAUGUUAAAAAAAAAAUUUAAAAAUAAUCAAGUUAAAAAGGAAAAUAAAGAAAACGACUCUAGUUAAUUUGAGUUAAUUUAUCAAGCUCGUAGCUUGAGUUAUGAUAUAAUAAUAACCUCAUAGAAACUAAACCAAAACAAAUCAUAAAAGCAAAAUUUCUCAUGAAUAAAAUAUUUUAGAAUGAAAUUGAUUAAAAGAAAGUCAAUAAAAAAAAGAAAUAAAAAUAAUAAAGUUAACCGGAUUAACAUGCUAAACCUGUGACUCGAGUUAUGAAGAUAGGAUGACCUCAAUCGAAAUAAAUCAUAAAAUCUAAUUUUUAAUAAAUUGAAUGAUAAAAUUAAUUUAAAAAAACAACAUAAAAUUACCAUCAAAAUAAUAAUUACUUUGUGAGGUGAUGUAAUGUGAAAACAACUUUUUUUUAAUGUUAACUAACAUGGAAAUAAAUCUAGCAACAUCAAAAUAAAUAAAUAAGUAUGGUUUGAAAAUUUAGCCCAUAAUAUGCAGUGAAGAAACAUUGUCCUUUUCUGCAUUAAAUUCCACAACUAGAAAACAUUCUAUAAUGAAUGCAUGUCGAGGAGUAUAUUAUUGUGGAGGUUAUUUUUUAAAGUUUUUUAUUUAAAAGUAUAUUAAGAUAAUAUUUUUAUUUUUUUAAUUUCUUUUAAUAUCAUUAUAUAAAAAUAAUCUAAAAGUAAAAAAAGGUAAAACUAUGAACAAAUAAUUCUUUAAAAAAUAUAGUUAUACGUCAAUGUCAAUCUCUACCUAUAUUUACGGCUAUCGAAUUUUGUAAUAGCUGUCCACCUUGACAGCAAGGUCAUGACCUUACUCUCCUACACCUGCAUCAUUGCUUAACAAAAUAUUUUAAAUCUCUCAAAUCCACUUAAUUAUAUAGCCACAAAUAUUGCACAUAAAAAGGAUAUAAAAUCAGACUCUUGCAUUCAAUCCCAUUCCCACCUUGAAUUCUCUACUCGUUGUUAACCAAAAAAAAAAAGAGGCUCAGUAGCAGAAUGAAGAAAGCUGAGCUAGUCUUCAUACCGACACCAGUUAUAAGCCACCUUGUAUCCACAGUGGAGGUAGCGAAGCUUCUUGUAGACCGUGAUGAGAGGCUUUCAAUCACCUUCCUCAUUAUGAAACUGUGCUCUUCCUCCAAGAUUGAUAGCUUCAUAGAUUCAGUGAGGACAGCCAGUAAUCGUAUCAGGUUCAUUGACUUGCCUCAAGAUGAGCCUGGUCCAAACCAACCCAACAAAACUUUCUUUUCUUUGAGUGAAACCCAGAAACCCCACGUCAAAGAAGAAGUCUCUAAGCUAGUGAGUCAGUCCGAGUCAAGCCCUGACACGCCUACACUUGCUGGGUUUGUUCUUGAUAUGUUUUGUACAUCUCUGAUAGAUGUGGCCAAUGAAUUUGGUGUUCCCUCAUAUAUCUUCCUUACGUCAGGUGCAGCUUAUCUUGGUCUUGUGUUUUAUAUUCAGGCUCUUCAUGGUGAGCAGAGAGUCGACCCUCUCGAGUUCAAGGACUCGGAAGCUGAAGUGGUCAUGCCUUGUUUGGCGAAUCCAUUUCCAGCCAGGGUCCUACCUUCUUUUUUGCUUAACAAAGAGUGGCUGGGUUCUGUCCUCGCUCAAGCUAGAAGGUUCAGGGAAAGUAAGGGUAUUAUAGUAAACACAUUUGAAGAGCUGGAAUCUCAUGCGAUCAACUCCUUUUCUAAUGGUAAUACCCUUCCUGUGUAUCCAGUGGGUCCCAUUCUGAACCUUAGUAGAGAUGGUCACCGUGAUGUGGAGUCUGAUGAAUUCAAAGACAUCAAGCAAUGGCUUGAUGAUCAGCCUCUAUCCUCAGUGGUGUAUAUAUGCUUCGGGAGCAUGGGAAGUUUCGGUGUGGAUCAGGUGAAGGAAAUCGCAUGUGGGCUGGAGCAGAGUGGCCACCGAUUCUUGUGGUCUCUACGUCAGCCACCACCGAAAGGCAAGAUAGAACCUCCAAGCGAUUACACUAAUCCUCAGGGCGUCUUACCUGAAGGGUUUUUGGAUCGGACGGCUAACACAGGAAAAAUAAUUGGAUGGGCCCCGCAGACAGAUAUUUUGGCCCAUCCAUCUGUAGGAGGGUUUGUAUCGCACUGUGGAUGGAACUCUAUAUUGGAAAGCAUAUGGUUUGGCGUUCCAAUUGCCGCGUGGCCAUUAUAUGCAGAGCAACAACUGAAUGCCUUUCAAAUAAUUGUUGAGCUCGGAUUGGGAGUGGAGAUUAAAAUGGAUUAUAGAAAAGAACUGAAGUCGGAUGGUAAUGAAAUUAAUGUCAUUAGUGCCGGGGAGAUCGAGAGAGGAGUAAGGUGUUUAAUGGAGCUUUGCGAUGAGAAGAGGGAGAGGUUGAAGGAGAUGAGUGGAAAGGGUAGGAAGGCUUUGGAGAACGGUGGAUCCUCGUUCACUUGGUUAGGUCGUUUCAUUCAAGAUUCGGUGGACCACCUGCCAUGAUUAAAUUGUAUUCUCUUAAUUCGUAUUAUUUAAUACAAUGUCUUUUAAUUUACAUGUUAUCUUUUUUGUUAUAAUUAUAGCUGUCGGAUCUUCCUGCGAAUUUAUAUGAAAAAUCCAAGAGGCUAUCAAGUGA
rnacentral:lncRNA from 1 species